CGGGCUAGAUUGGAUUAGAGAGAUUCGAAAGCUGUUUGCAGAAAAAUAGCAUAUUGUUGAGGUUUUUCUGCUCAGAAGCAAGCUAUGGAAGACGCUAUUGAUGAGUACGUGAGAGAUGAAGAUUUGAAAGACUUCAAAAGCAAGAUGGAGAAUCUGAGUUUACCUCUGAAGGAGACAUUGAAGUCGUCAUGAAGCGGCCGUCACUAAUUUUCAAAGAAAGCAAUGAUGUCUUCAUCAACUUAAGAGGCAUUGAAACGCAAAGAACCAUCCCAGGACUUCGUCACGAAGGACUUCUUUACUAUCAUCUAAAACAACUGAAUGUAACUGCAAUUUGGGACAAACUCUUCAAUAAAGCAAUGGAAUCAUCCACAGUAGCAAUGGAGCAAUCCAAGAUUAUUUCAGUCUUCAUAUCUCAUCUAUGUCAUUCACAUAUAAGUCCGGGCCACGAUUAUGUAAAAGAUAGACGAGAAAAGGCAGGCUACCAUCAUAUGGGCGAAUCAUUACUACCAGGGAAUAGGGA